GGCCAGGAAGAGCAUAAGAAUGCAUAGGACAUUUAGCUGAAGCCAUUGGGUGAUGUUAUUCCUAGCAGCUGACGGCUCAGUGGUGCGUAACAGCUGCCGAUUCAACGCGCGGCUCCUAAACCGUUGACAGCUCAAAGCGUGGCUCAAUGCACAGCUCCCAAACUGCUAAUGGUUCAACGCAUGGCUCUCGAACAGCUGACGGCUCAAUGCGAAGCAUCAGCAGCUCAUGUUCCGACCUGUAAAACUCAACAGCAAACAGCGCGAAGCGUGACUUGUAGCAACUGCAUAUUCAUUGAGAAGCUUCUGAGCAUUUUCCGGUAUAUUCUCUCAUUCGAAAAAAAAAAAAAAAAUCUGAUUUCGGAAUUUCGGAUAAAAGAUCGAACCCUUCUCAGAUGCGCCAUCAACUAAUAGACUUCAAAAUAUUACUGUACAUUCAUCAAUAAAUAAAAUCAGAAAACGUGCAUUAAAAGAAAAUAUUUUUCAGUUUGUAUCUAAUUUGUUUUACAGUCUAGGAAAAUUCAUUACAAUUUCCACAGUAUCAAGUAAUUAAAAGAUAUAAAGGGACUGUGCGUGUGUGCCUGCGCACGCGCGGAUAUGUAUGAAAGUAAAAAGCCGAAGUCAAAAAAAGAGAACGCUAAAGAAAUAGGCAUUCAUUAUAGUCGCCAUUGUAGCUUACAUCGGUAAACCUUUUUCUGAAGAAAUCUAGUUGAAUAGAUCGACCUAAUUAAGAGGUAAAUAUUUUGCCCAGUGUUAUAAAACAGCGAUGGCGACUGGAUAAGAACCAUUGGUUAUUCAAGCAGUAACAAUUCAACUCUCAAUUCUUGUUUUUUAACAACCAUUAACAUAUAUAAGAAGACAGUUGUCGUCCAUCUGAAUGACGUCAUUUAAGGACGUCAUUUAAGAACGUCAUUUAAUAUUUUCCUGGAUUUUCAACCGUUUAUCGAAUCCAUUGGAGAUUGGAUGUCGGUAUAUACUUUAUUAAGAGCAAAAUGACUCUUUAUCGACGUGUUUCAUCGAAAAGAAGCAACAGGCGGCAGAAUGUUGCAGUCAGACCGAGGAAAACGAGGCGGAGAAGACAGUAUAGAACUCGAAGACGAAAAGGACUCACAAGGGGAGGCGUCAGGAAUGCCGGGAGAUUGUUUAGAAUAACGUCUUGGUUUUCAUCUUUUUUUCGAAAAUCUACAACUAAACCAAGAACCCGAAAAUGAUAACUUCAACUUUCGGAUUUAUUAAAGCAAAAAUCGUAACUAGGGGAAGUCCUUCAUUCUAAUUAUAAUAUCAAAAAUAAUAGUUUAAAAAUAUUUUGACCCGAUCAUUGCGCGUUAUCUAAUAACUUUUGUUCACUAUGAGAUUACGUGCUUAUCAUCGGAAAUAGUAGUCUUUAUUUAUGUACAAACGAAAAAUAUAUUAAAAGAUAUAUUUCAAGUU